GUCGUCGCCACAUUUUUCGCAAAGCUUAAUAUUUAAAAAAAAAAUUGUCAAAAUGUUGUUGUGUUAACAAAGUCCUCGGAUAGUCCUAAAAAAUUGAAAUCAUCAACACAACAUUCAUCUUCUUUAAAAUGUCCGUCCAAUCAUUAUAUUAAAGAAGAAUUUGGGGUUCAAAUUAAUUUAUGUGAAACAUCUAUAAUUAAAUUAAUUUUGGAAAAAAAAUUUUGGUUGACAUUUUGGACAAAUUUUAGGCGAAUGUACCAAAAAUAUAAGCUAUUCAACAUUUUGUUUUAAUUACGUUACAUUCAUAUUAAAAAUUUAUAUUUCUCAAGCAA